ensembl:lncRNA
AUGGCAUCGCUCCUUCCCGGGCCAGGCUCCUGGAGCGAGCCCUGGCACAGGAAGAGGCCAGGGCACUGCAGGGCACCAGCCACGGUGCCUGGGAAUGCAGCUGGGACCCGUGCGUGUCCCCGGCCGCGGGCAUCGGGCUCUGGGCACGCACCGGGGGCAGCCGCCGGCCCAGCCCAUCCCGCCCCGGGCACAGCGGAGCCGCGGCCGUGUGUCCCUGCGGGCAAAGGGCACGGCGGGCAGGGCAGGGACCCGCCAGGCAGGGGCAGUGCCAAGGUCCGAAGAGCCUCGCGGUGCCCGAGGGCGUCAUGCCCGGGGCCGGGGCCGCUGGAUGUCACCCUUGUGCCGUGCGUGCCCGGGCCGUCCCCUCCGCGGGCAGCGGGCUGGCUGCGCACACGCGUGUGCCCGCGCCCCGCUCUGUGCGCACACGCACAGGCACGCGGGGCCCUGCAGCUCCGUGCCGCGGCAUUUCCCAACUCCUGGCUGGAGCAGCGCCCCUGCAGCCCCCCCGCGCCCUGCCCCGACCUUUGCACGAAUCCCCCGGGCGGCCGCGGGGAGGCUAUAAAGGGUGAGCCCGGGGCUGCCCCGCGUCAGAGCCCGGCACAGGUGAGUGGGGACAUCCCCGGCGAGGGUCGUGCUGUAAGGGGACGGGGUCGGGACCCCCGUGCCCCACAUCGUGCGCUCUGCUCUCUCCGCAGCCAUGAAGGCGUCACUGCUGUUCCUGCUCGCCUGCACGGCCGUCCUGGCGCUGGGAGCAAGGGCCGACUCGUCCGAGGACUCGAAGGCGCUGGUGCAGAAGGUGCAGGAGCUGGCCCAGAAAGUCUCGGCCAUGACCAAGGACGCCUUCAGCAGGGUGCGGGAGUCGGAGGCGGCGCAGCAGGCCAGGUGCCCCCCAACCCCAGCCCUGUCGCUGUCCCCGGUGCCGGGGGACCCGGCCAGGGCCCCGCGCUCACCCCCUGCCCUCCUCUCCCUCCCGGUGCAGGCAGUGGCUGUCGGACAACGCGGAGCUGGCCAAGCAGCGGCUGCUGUGGCUCAAGGAGCAGCUGGCCGAGCUCCUGAAGAAGACUCCGGCCUCGUAGCCUCGCCGGGGACUGCCCGGGCUCUGUCGGGGCUGGGGACCCCCGGCUGGGGACCCCCGGCUCCCCCCGCUGUCGCGGUGCUCUCAAUAAAGCGGGGCUGAUGCAAACGCUGUGCUGCCAUCACUGCGGGCGGGCCGGGAGGAGCGGGACCCGCAGGGGGAG